rnacentral:rRNA from 1 species
AGCAGCCGCGGUAAUUCCAGCUCCAAUAGCGUAUAUUAAAGUUGUUGCAGUUAAAAAGCUCGUAGUUGAAUUUCGGGAUCAAAGAAUCGGUCAUGCCUUGGUAUGUACUGGUUUUAUUGGUUCUCACCUUCUAAAGAACCAUGAUGUCAUUCAUUUGAUGUUAUGGGGAAUUAGGACUGUUACCUUGAAAAAAUUAGAGUGUUUAAAGCAAGCUUACGCUUGAAUACAUUAGCAUGGAAUAAUGAAAUAGGACAUCAGAUUCUAUUUUGUUGGUUUCUAGGAUCGAUGUAAUGAUUAAUAGGGAUAGUUGGGGGCAUUAGUAUUCAAUUGUCAGAGGCGAAAUUCUUGGAUUUAUUGAAGACUAACUACUGCGAAAGCAUUUGCCAAGGAUGUUUUCAUUAAUCAAGAACGAAAGUUAGGGGAUCGAAGACGAUCAGAUACCGUCGUAGUCUUAACCAUAAACUAUGCCGACUAGGGAUCGGAUGAUGUUAAUUUUUAAUGACUCAUUC